UGUCGUCAGCUCGUGUUGUGAAAUGUUGGGUUAAGUCCCGCAACGAGCGCAACCCUUAUCCUUUGUUGCCAGCGGUCCGGCCGGGAACUCAAAGGAGACUGCCAGUGAUAAACUGGAGGAAGGUGGGGAUGACGUCAAGUCAUCAUGGCCCUUACGACCAGGGCUACACACGUGCUACAAUGGCGCAUACAAAGAGAAGCGACCUCGCGAGAGCAAGCGGACCUCAUAAAGUGCGUCGUAGUCCGGAUUGGAGUCUGCAACUCGACUCCAUGAAGUCGGAAUCGCUAGUAAUCGUGGAUCAGAAUGCCACGGUGAAUACGUUCCCGGGCCUUGUACACACCGCCCGUCACACCAUGGGAGUGGGUUGCAAAAGAAGUAGGUAGCUUAACCUUCGGGAGGGCGCUUACCACUUUGUGAUUCAUGACUGGGGUGAAGUCGUAACAAGGUAACCGUAGGGGA
rnacentral:rRNA from 1 species